rnacentral:lncRNA from 1 species
GGAGGAGUUACUUUCUGCUUCUGCUCUGGAGAGAUGGAAACUUGCCCGACCCAGACACUCCAAGGGAAACAACGGCAGCGGAAAGAUGUUGGCUCCUCUCAGAGGCUGCACCCAGGGCAGCGGGGCGGCUGCGCGGGCACCCCUGGGGACCACAUAGGGUGACCUCAGCAGGGAUCCAGAACGCCGUGAAGCUGGGGGGCAACCGAGUCCCCCCCAUUCAACAUAUCCAUUCCCCCCGACUAAAGGAAGCCCUAUAAGCAACCAGAUGGGAUGCUGAGAGCAAAAGGAGCAAAGAGGGAGGGGUUGUGAUGUACGGGGCUGGUGGGCACCGCCAAGCGAAAUCACGUCCGCGGAGCACUUACUUUCGGGGUAAAAAGGCUGCAUGUCUAUUUUGUAAACUUCUUUGGCGUAGUACUCCUCGUCGCUCCGCUCCCUCUCGCAAGUGGCAGCUCUGUGGUUGGCUUUCUCCUGCAGCAGGUCCCUGGUGCUGUUGUAGAUGGAGAUGACCUCCGGGGGCACCUCCUCGGGCUCGGGGUACUCGUCCGGGGGGCUGGUGAGCUUCAGCUUGCUCAGGAUCUGCCCCCGGAUCGCCUCGAUCCUCUUGCGCAUGAACUGAUCCAUGUCGAGGGUGCUGCAGGUAGACAGGCUGAGAGCCACGGCGGCCAGAUCCAGGGUGAGGAACACGCUCAGGAGAUAGCAGUGCAUCUUAAGUGCUUAAAUACAGCGCCCCCCGAAAAAAGAGUGACUUUAACCACGAACGACAACGGUGGGGGUGGGGGGGUGGGGGGUUAAUAUUAAAAAAUAACAGGGGGAUGUGUGCAAACAAAGGGAGGAUCUGCAGACAAAAUGCAGUGAACAACCGGACUGCAAGGACGGCUUGCAAUCCACAAACGCACGGGAGUCGCCAGUGGAAAAAAUACCAAUAGUGAUACAAAAAAAUAAAAAAGCAGCCUAGUGAGAGUCGGGGGUGGAGAGAGCGGCAGUUAAAAAAA